rnacentral:rRNA from 1 species
AUUGAACGCUGGCGGCAGGCCUAACACAUGCAAGUCGAGCGGAUGAAGGGAGCUUGCUCCUGGAUUCAGCGGCGGACGGGUGAGUAAUGCCUAGGAACCUGCCUGGUAGUGGGGGAUAACGUCCGGAAACGGGCGCUAAUACCGCAUACGUCCUGAGGGAGAAAGUGGGGGAUCUUCGGACCUCACGCUAUCAGAUGAGCCUAGGUCGGAUUAGCUAGUUGGUGGGGUAAAGGCCUACCAAGGCGACGAUCCGUAACUGGUCUGAGAGGAUGAUCAGUCACACUGGAACUGAGACACGGUACAGACUCCUACGGGAGGCAGCAGUGGGGAAUAUUGGACAAUGGGCGAAAGCCUGAUCCAGCCAUGCCGCGUGUGUGAAGAAGGUCUUCGGAUUGUAAAGCACUUUAAGUUGGGAGGAAGGGCAGUAAGUUAAUACCUUGCUGUUUUGACGUUACCAACAGAAUAAGCACCGGCUAACUUCGUG